UAUAUAUAUAUAUAUUUUUAUUUUCACUAUAAAUAAAGUCAUGUCCGUUUUAAGUAUUAUAACUCCCAAUCACCGCUACCCUUUUCGAUUGAUCUGAACCCCAUAACGCAUGUCAAGGCUCUGCCCGACUAAGUUCGUUUGGAUUCUGUCUCGGGACUUUGGGACAAGGUUAAAUUAGGGGUACUAUACUUAACACGAGUAUAUUAUAUAUAUAUUUUUAGCCCAAAGGUUAUACCCAAAAUUUAUACCAGGAGUCCUUCUAAUUGAACCCUAAAGUUACACAGUGGGUCCAUUCCUUUUCUCACCAUUUUAUUCUCUUUUUGCCAAUGGUUAUUACAAUAGAUUGGAGUAAGGAUUGGAUCCGACACUGAAGGACUUCAAGAAGUGGCUUAUUUUAUUAAUUAAAUCAAUUAAGAAAUAUUGUUUUAUUAAAAGCUACCUUUGUAAAAUAUGGAAUUUAUUCCAUCUUUUUAAAUAAAAUCCGGUGUUUCUAAACUCUGAUAUUUUUCCUAACUCACGGUCCUGAUGAAAUUUCCGCUGCAAUGUUUUUCAAAAUAAUCACCGGUACCACUGGACUGCUCACGGCACCGAUUCCGGCUAGAUGGGGUCGGGGUUCGU
rnacentral:lncRNA from 1 species